GAUGAAGAACGUAGCGAAAUGCGAUAAGUAGUGUGAAUUGCAGAAUUCAGUGAAUCAUCGAAUCUUUGAACGCACAUUGCGCCCCUUGGUAUUCCAUGGGGCAUGCCUGUUCGAGCGUCAUUUGUACCUUCAAGCUCUGCUUGGUGUUGGGUGUUUGUCUCGCCUCUGCGUGUAGACUCGCCUCAAAACAAUUGGCAGCCGGCGUAUUGAUUUCGGAGCGCAGUACAUCUCGCGCUUUGCACUCAUAACGACGACGUCCAAAAGUACAUUUUUACACUCUUGACCUCGGAUCAGGUAGGGAUACCCGCUGAACUUAAGCAUAUCAAUAAGCGCAGGA
rnacentral:misc_RNA from 1 species